CAGUUUUCACCAGAUGGUUCUGUCUUUGUUAUUUCCCUAAAGCCAUAGUAUUUAUGUUUAACAACUAUUUUUGGAGGGAGAUUAUAACUUUGUUGGAAUUUUGACAUUUCACUAAUGCACAUUUUUACUCUUUUGGAAAAUUCUAGUAUUUUAUUUAUUUUGUUUUUUUAUUUAUUACUCAAUGAAUUUUAUUACAUUUAUAGUUGUACAAUGAUCAUCACAACCCGAUUUUAUAGAAGUUUCAUCCCAAACCCUUAGCCCAUCCCCUGCCCCCAACCUGUCUCAUUUGGAAACCAUAAGUUUUUCAAAGUCUAUGAUUCAGUAUCUGUUCAUCUCAUAUUUCAAAUAAUCUCUGUUUCUUAUGAAAUAUGUACUUGGCUUCCUCAGUCAAUUCUUUUGGACUAUGAAUUUUUUUGCAGUUAUUGGGAAAGCAAUUUCGUGACCAUUAUAACACAUUGGCUAUAGCAGCUGAUGAUUUUUAUAGGUUUUUUUUAAUGUGAGAGGAAUUUGACUUUGCAUAUUGAAAUAAGCUGCAGAUUAUAAAAAGUCUUUUUAUUCUUACAUAGGAAUGCUUUUUCUUUUGGUUUGUUUGUUUUAGGCUGCACCCACAGCAUUGGAAGUUCCCAGGCUAGGGGUCAACUGCCAGCCUAUAUCACAGCCACAGCAACGCCAGAUCUGAGCUGAAUCCUUAACCCACUGAGUGAAGCCAAGGAUAGAAUCCACGUCCUCAUGGAUCUUAGUCAGGUUCAUUAGUGCUCAGUCACAACAGGAACUCCAGGAAUGCUUUUCUUUUUUUUUUAUUAUUAUUAUUUUUUUUAUUUUCCCACUGUACAGCAAGGGGGUCAGGUUAUCCUUACAUGUAUACAUUGCAAUUACAGCUUUUCCCGCACUCUUUCUUCUGUUGCAACAUGAGUAUCUAGACAUAGUUCUCAAUGCUAUUCAGCAGGAUCUCCUUGUAAAUCUAUUCUAGGUUGUGUCUGAUAAGCCCAUGCUCCCGAUCCCUCCCCCUCCCUCCCCCUCCCAUCAGGCAGCUACAAGUCUCUUCUCCAAGUCCAUGAUUUUCUUUUCUGAGGAGAUGUUCAUUUGUGCUGGAUAUUAGAUUCCAGUUAUAAGUGAUAUCAUAUGGUAUUUGUCUUUGUCUUUCUGGCUCAUUUCACUCAGUAUGAGAUUCUCUAGUUCCAUCCAUGUUGCUGCAAAUGGCAUUAUGUCAUCCUUUUUUAUGGCUGAGUAGUAUUCCAUUGUGUAUAGGAAUGCUUUUCUUAGUGGUAGAGUAAAUACCAUACACGAUAACAUCAAAGUUUUUUUCAACUGCUUUGAAUCAUAGCUUAUGUAUUACAUUUCAACCAGCAGCAUUUAGGACUUCACCAACUCAAGUUAGAUAAGCAUUUUGAGGAGGAAUGUGUAAAUUGCCUUAAAAUCAAAUCUAUAUUUUAAGAAGUAAAACUGGUUAAGAAUCAUCAGGAUUUUGGAGUUCCCUGUGUCACAGGGGGUUGAGGAUCUGUUGUCACUGCCAUGGCUCAGGUCAGUGCUUUGGCACGUGCUUGAUCCUUGGCCCCAAAGAUCUUCCACAUCCUUUGGGUGUGGCCAAAAAAAAAAAAAGAAUCAUCUGGAUUUAGAAAUUAUGUUUUUCAGAAUUACUAAUAAACUUACUCAUAAAUAUGCUAAACAAACAUAUAAAUUCAUUUGAUUCUGGAUUGAUCCAAAAGUUAAAAAGAUGACAACAAAGUCUUAACAAAUCUUGUAUUUCAUUGCAUAUCUGAUUAAAAUCACUUAAAUGUUCUUUGGCAUUUAAAUAAUGUCAGGUAUUUUUUAUUUUUCAUUUUUAGAACAUAUAAUUGAAGGUUACAAAAGUUUAAAUUAUAUUUAUCAAUCUCACAUCCAUUUGAUCUUUCAAAAUUAAUAAAACAAGACAGGGUAAUAGGGGAAGAGGAUACUGAAUCAGUAAGUUCAUGAAUCAGUAUGAAAAAUAGCUUGGAAGUUCCCAUGAUGGCUCAGUGGUUAACGAAUCUGACUAGUAUCUAUGAGGACAUAGGUUCAAUCCCUGGCCUCGAUCAGUGGGUUAAGGAUCUAGAGUUGCCAUGAGCUGUGAUGUAGGUCACAGAUGUGGCUCAGAUCUGGUGCUGCUGCGGCUGAGGUGUAGGCUGGCAGCUACAGAUCCAAUUCAACCCCUAGCCCAGGAACCUCCAUAUACUGUGGGUGUAGCCCUAAAAAGACUACCAAAAAAAAAAAAAAAAGAAAAGAAAAGAAAAAGAAAAAAUCAUCUUUGGAGUUCCCGUUGUGGCGCAGUGGUUAACGAAUCUGAUUGGGAACCUUGAGGUUUCAGGUUCGAUCCCUGGCCUUGCUCAGUGGGUUAAGGAUCUGGUGUUGCCAUGAGCUGUGGUGUAGGUUGCAGACGUGGCUCGGAUCCCGCAUUGCUGUGGCUGUGGCGCAGACCGGCAGCUAUAGCUCCGAUUAGACCCCUAGCCUGGGAACCUCCAUGUGCCAUGUGCCGCAGGAGCGGCCCUAGAAAA
rnacentral:lncRNA from 1 species